rnacentral:miRNA from 1 species
UGAAUGGCACCUUUUUGAGUAGG